UAGGGAAUCUUCCACAAUGGACGCAAGUCUGAUGGAGCAACGCCGCGUGAGUGAAGAAGGUUUUCGGAUCGUAAAGCUCUGUUGUUGGUGAAGAAGGAUAGAGGCAGUAACUGGUCUUUAUUUGACGGUAAUCAACCAGAAAGUCACGGCUAACUACGUGCCAGCAGCCGCGGUAAUACGUAGGUGGCAAGCGUUGUCCGGAUUUAUUGGGCGUAAAGCGAGCGCAGGCGGAAUGAUAAGUCUGAUGUGAAAGCCCACGGCUCAACCGUGGAACUGCAUCGGAAACUGUCAUUCUUGAGUGCAGAAGAGGAGAGUGGAACUCCAUGUGUAGCGGUGGAAUGCGUAGAUAUAUGGAAGAACACCAGUGGCGAAGGCGGCUCUCUGGUCUGCAACUGACGCUGAGGCUCGAAAGCAUGGGUAGCGAACAGGAUUAGAUACCCUGGUAGUCCAUGCCGUAAACGAUGAGCGCUAGGUGUUGGGGACUUUCCGGUCCUCAGUGCCGCAGCAAA
rnacentral:rRNA from 1 species